CUCGACGUAACAUUGUUAAACAUCACUGUUUUCACUUCUUCAAAUAGUUUAGGUUUGAACUGUAAACCAACAAUAGCACAACUUCAUUACUGAAACGUGAACGAGUUUUACUGACGUCAAGG
rnacentral:miRNA from 1 species